UACGGAGGGGGCUAGCGUUGUUCGGAAUUACUGGGCGUAAAGCGCUUGUAGGCGGUCCACCAAGUUUGGGGUGACAGUUGCCGACUUAAUCGGCAAAGUGCCUCAAAGACUGGCGGACUUGAGGGCCACAGAGGGACAUGGAACUCCGGGUGUAGUGGUGAAAUGCGUAGAUAUCUGGAAGAACACCAAAGGCGAAGGCAGUGUCCUGGGUGGUCGCUGACGCUGAGAGGCGAAAGCCAGGGGAGCGAACGGG
rnacentral:rRNA from 1 species